AACAAGGCGUACCUGCGGACCUGCGGAAGGAUCAUUACAAAAAAGACCCAAGGGGUUUUUGGGUUUCGGCCCAAGAAUACCCAACCCACCUCUUGUGCACUGUUCACGUUCGCUUUGGCAGUUGCUUUGGCUUCUCUGGAAGUCAACUUCUCGCUGGCUCUAUCCUUUUUGGACAGCUGGUGGUGAAGCGGCCUGCCAAGGCUUUUUUUCGAAAUAACGCUUUUAGAAUCUACUGUCUGA
rnacentral:misc_RNA from 1 species